GGGAAACUAUAGAGGUCUUGUGUACACUAUAGGGGUCUAAUGUACACUAUAGGGGUCUAAUGUACACUAUAUGGGUCUAAUGUACACUACAUGGGUCUAAUGUACACUAUAUGGGUCUAAUGUACACUAUAGAGGUCUAAUGUACACUAUAUGGUCUAAUGUACACUAUAGGGGUCUAAUGUACACUAUAUGGGUCUAAUGUACACUACAUGGGUCUAAUGUACACUAUAUGGGUCUAAUGUACACUAUAGAGGUCUAAUGUACACUAUAGGGGUCUAAUGUACACUAUAGGGGUCUAAUGUACACUAUAGGGGUCUAAUGUACACUACAUGGGUCUAAUGUACACUAUAUGGGUGUCAUGUACACUAUAGAGGUCUAAUGUACACUAUAGGGGUCUAAUGUACACUAUAUGGUCUAAUGUACACUAUAUGGUCUAAUGUACACUAUAUGGGUCUAAUGUACACUAUAGGGGUCUCAUGUACACUAUAUCGGUCUCGUGUACACUAUAUGGUCUAAUGUACACUAUAUGGAUCUUAUGUACACUAUAUGGGUCUAAUGUACACUAUAUAGGUCUAAUGUACACUAUAGGGGUCUAAUGUACACUACAUGGGUCUAAUGUACACUAUAUGGGUGUCAUGUACACUAUAUGGGUCUAAUAUACACUAUAUGGGUCUAAUGUACACUAUAUGGGUGUCAUGUACACUAUAUGGGUCUAAUGUACACUAUAUGGGUCUAAUGUACAAUAUAUGGGUCUAAUGUACACUAUAUGGGUCUAAUGUACACUAUAUGGGUCUAAUGUACACUAUAUGGGUCUAAUGUACACUAUAUGGGUGUCAUGUACACUAUAUGGGUCUAAUGUACACUAUAUGGGUGUCAUGUACACUAUAUGGGUCUAAUGUACACUAUAUGGGUGUCAUGUACACUAUAUGGGUCUAAUGUACACUAUAUGGGUCUCAUGUACACUAUAGGGGUCUAAUGUACACUAUAUGGGUCUAAUGUACACUACAUGGGUCUAAUGUACACUAUAUGGGUGUCAUGUACACUAUAUGGGUCUAAUAUACACUAUAGGGGUCUAAUGUACACUAUAUGGGUAUAAUGUACACUACAUGGGUCUAAUGUACACUAUAUGGGUGUCAUGUACACUAUAUGGGUCUAAUAUACACUAUAUGGGUCUAAUGUACACUAUAUGGGUGUCAUGUACACUAUAUGGGUCUAAUGUACAUUUAUGGGUCUGAUGUACACUAUAUGGGUCUAAUGUACACUAUAUGGGUGUCAUGUACACUAUAUGGGUCUAAUGUACACUAUAUGGGUGUCAUGUACACUAUAUGGGUCUAAUGUACACUAUAUGGGUGUCAUGUACACUAUAUGGGUGUCAUGUACACUAUAGGGGUCUAAUGUACACUAUAGGGGUCUAAUGUACAAUAUAUGGGUCUAAUAUACACUUAAUGGGUCCACUGUACACUAUAUGGCUCCCAUGAACACAAUAUGGGCCCUGUGAACACUGUAUGGACCAUGUACACUGUAUGGUUCCCAUGUAUAUUAUAUGAGUCCAAUGUAUACUAUAUGGUUUCAAUGUACACUCUUUGGUCCCUGUAGACACUAAAUGGUCCCCAUAUACACUACAUGGACCCUGUAAACAAUAUAUGGGUCCAGUUGGCACACUGUGGUGCCCUCUGCACUCAGGUGAGAAGUACAAUUGCUUGAUUUUAGAAAGAUCAUUAUUUAUCUCAGAAACAUUUUUCUGUUUAUUGCAUAAUUUGUACACUAUUUUUUUUUUAUUUUUUUUUUAUUUUUUUUUUGUUAAGAUUGUGUUAAGUUGUUGUUUGCUAAGAUCAAAAUAUUCUAUGUUUUACAACAUUUUUGAAGCAUAAUGCAUUGCUGUAACUAUCUAAUAUCUCUGAACCUUUCAAAUGAAUAUCCUGUGUGUUUUCGGGGUCUAGGUCAAAGGUCAAACUACAAUGAGCUGGACUCAUUUUGUCAGAUUUUGUUUUCAAGUAUGUUAUGUUUUGCAGUCCUCUAUAUAUUUGUACUGUAUUCUGUGUAUGAUAAAUUGGGUGCAUGAUUAUAAAUUUGUAUGAAAAAGAAAUUUUAAAACUGAAUAAAAAAAAAUGAUUACCAGAAA